CAGCCGCCGCGGUAAUACGUAGGGUGCAAGCGUUAAUCGGAAUUACUGGGCGUAAAGCGUGCGCAGGCGGUUCGCUAAGACAGAUGUGAAAUCCCCGGGCUUAACCUGGGAACUGCAUUUGUGACUGGCGGGCUAGAGUAUGGCAGAGGGGGGUAGAAUUCCACGUGUAGCAGUGAAAUGCGUAGAGAUGUGGAGGAAUACCGAUGGCGAAGGCAGCCCCCUGGGCCAAUACUGACGCUCAUGCACGAAAGCGUGGGGAGCAAACAGGAUUAGAGACCCCUGUAGUCCCUGUCUCUUAUAC
rnacentral:rRNA from 1 species